rnacentral:rRNA from 1 species
AUUGAACGCUGGCGGCAGGCCUAACACAUGCAAGUCGAACGAGUGGCGGAAGGGUGAGUAAUGUCUGGGACACUGCCUGAUGGAGGGGGAUAACUACUGGAAACGGUAGCUAAUACCGCAUACCAUAGCCUGGGCCCGGAUGGGAUUAGCUGGUGGGAGGGGUAACGGACCACCAGGGCGACGAUCCGUAGCUGGUCUGAGAGGAUGACCAGCCACACUGGAACUGAGACACGGUCCAGACUCCUACGGGAGGCAGCAGUGGGGAAUAUUGCACAAUGGGCGCAAGCCUGAUGCAGCCAUGCCGCGUGUAUGAAGAAGGCCUUCGGGUUGUAAAGUACUUUCAGCGAGGAGGCGUUACUCGCAGAAGAAGCACCGGCUAACUCCGUGCCAGCAGCCGCGGUAAUAC